rnacentral:misc_RNA from 1 species
GUAGGUGAACCUGCGGAAGGAUCAUUAACACGUGAAAAACGUCAACAACACAACGGUUCAGUGUAUCGGAUUUCCUUUGAAAGAAGGUCAUUCGAAUCAUCGAUCUCCCUGUCAAUGAGAUAGCUGGCAUCAUUACUUUAGUGAUGGGGGAAGGGCACCAAUAGUAAUAUAUUGGUGUUUUUUUCUCAAGGUAGUGUGUGUCUAGGGUCUUUUCGAGCCCAAUGCUCUCAUUGAUAGGUCUUUUACCAUCACUUCCCACCUACCCUUUUCUCCCUCUCUGAUUGUGGAUGUUAACGCAUCCUUGUCAUGAGACAUACCCCUUUUUUGACUAAAUCUUUCGAACGAAGAAAUUUGUUUGGAAUUGUUUAUAGAAACUCUCUAUGUACAACUCUUAGCAAUGGAUAUCUUGGUUCUC